CUUGACAUCCAGCGAACUUUCCAGAGAUGGAUUGGUGCCUUCGGGAACGCUGAGACAGGUGCUGCAUGGCUGUCGUCAGCUCGUGUCGUGAAAUGUUGGGUUAAGUCCCGNAACGAGCGCAACCCUUAUCCUUUGUUGUCAGCGAUUCGGUCGGGAACUCAAAGGAGACUGCCGGUGAUAAACCGGAGGAAGGUGGGGAUGACGUCAAGUCAUCAUGGCCCUUACGAGUAGGGCUACACACGUGCUACAAUGGCGCAUACAAAGAGAAGCGACCUCGCGAGAGCAAGCGGACCUCAUAAAGUGCGUCGUAGUCCGGAUCGGAGUCUGCAACUCGACUCCGUGAAGUCGGAAUCGCUAGUAAUCGUGGAUCAGAAUGCCACGGUGAAUACGUUCCCGGGCCUUGUACACACCGCCCGUCACACCAUGGGAGUGGGUUGCAAAAGAAGUAGGUAGCUUAACCUUCGGGAGGGCGCUUACCACUUUGUGAUUCAUGACUGGGGUGAAGUCGUAACAAGGUAAGCGUAGCGAG
rnacentral:rRNA from 1 species